rnacentral:rRNA from 1 species
CAAUAGCGUAUAUUAAAGUUGUUGCAGUUAAAAGCUCGUAGUUGGAUUUCUGGUUGGAGCGACCGGUCGGGCAUUGAUUUGUCUGCACUGGAGUCGGUUCUGGCCAUCCUCUUGGAAAGUGCGUCUGUCAUUAAGUUGUCGGGCGUAUGAUCCAGGUCUUUUACUGUGAAAAAUUAGAGUGUUUAAAGCAGGCCUUCGCCUUGAAUACAUUAGCAUGGAAUAAUAAGAUAGGACUUUGGUCUAUUUUGUUGGUUUGCAGACCGAAGUAAUGAUUAAUAGGGAUAGUUGGGGGUAUUUAUAUUCCAAUGUCAGAGGUGAAAUUCUUAGAUUUUUGGAAGAUAAACUUAUGCGAAAGCAUUUACCAAGGAUGUUUUCAUUAAUCAAGAACGAAAGUUAGGGGAUCGAAGACGAUUAGAUACCAU